rnacentral:rRNA from 1 species
AUUGAACGCUGGCGGCAGGCCUAACACAUGCAAGUCGAACGAGUGGCGGACGGGUGAGUAAUGUCUGGGAAACUGCCCGAUGGAGGGGGAUAACUACUGGAAACGGUAGCUAAUACCGCAUACCAUCGGAUGUGCCCAGAUGGGAUUAGCUAGUAGGUGGGGUAACGGCUCACCUGGGCGACGAUCCCUAGCUGGUCUGAGAGGAUGACCAGGGACGCUGGAACGUAGACACGGUCAAGACUCUUACGGAAGGCAGCAGUGGGAUAUAUUGCACGAUGGGCGCAAGCCUGAUGCAGCCAUGCCGCGGGUAUGAAGAAGGCCUUCGGGUUGGAAAGUACUUGCAGCGGGGAGGCGUGACCCGCAGAAGAAGCACCGGCUAACGCCGUGCCAGCCGCCGCGGUAAUAC